rnacentral:lncRNA from 1 species
CAAGGCAUGGAUCAAAAUUUUUUUGAAAAAAAACAUCUCAGAAAUUGUGCUUAACAGGGGUAAUGACAGAAGCACAACUCUUUUGAGGGGAUUAAAAAGAAACAAACAGAAAAAAGGAAGGCAGCAAUAAAUUCACACCUAGGCCAGAAUUUUGUCAUGAUCCCCCUCGAUAUUUUGGAGGAGGUAGGAGCGUUUCCUUGAUCAAUUAAGGAGGAUCACUCCUCCCCCCGUUGAGCUGUACCCAAUACAGAUAUCGCUCUCCUUUGGCUGUGCUCAUCUUCCCUGGAUCCGUGUUCCUCCUGCAUUCCCCCGAGAGGCCGAGACCCAGAGACCCAGAUCCAGUAGCGAUCUCCCCCCAAAGUGCGACCAGGCAUAGGUACUCUCCAAAACCAUGUUCUUCUACUUGUUCCCCUUACUUCCUGCUGUUUUGGCCGCGUUUUCCCCAAAAAAUUCCAACUCCCUCGGUGGAUCUUUGAGGGAGAAGGUUCUGUUGGGGAAACAGGGUGCUUUCUGGUCGUGCUGGGUGUUUUAGGUUGGAGAUUUGCAUGAAUUUCUUUUUACUUCGUCUUGCUAUCGAUGUCUGUCUAUUGUCCAAAAGAGUCGUUGAGCCAAGGGAUGCGAAGUUCAAUUCAGCUGUAGCCAGAUUUGUAAUCUCUGAACGAGCGAAAGUUAAAAACUUCUGAGUAUGAUAUGCUGGUUGCAUAUUCUACAGAACAAGAAGUAUCUGACACUAUUUUUAUUUUCUUUAAAUUUUUAUUGUUAAGGGAAGAUAUCUGAUGUUAUUCAGUCCAUAGAUUGAAUAGAGCACCAUAGCUGAUGGUUUUUCUAAUGAAUUUAAUCAAACCUACUGGAAUACUUGAAAGGCUUCCAUUAAAUCGAGGUGCCAUUUGAUCCCAAAUGGACUUUAGACUUGCU